AUACAUUCGUACCUGUAGCAUAAUGCGUGACAUAUUGUCAUAUAUUUGUUGAAAAUUCAAUUGGAUAAUUGACUAACGGUCGGUUCCGAAAUAAUGGUAAAAGGCGUAAAGAUUUGAAACAGAUUUCCGCAGGAAAAAAAAUUGGAGAAAAUCCGGAGGCGGAGUUGUGCAAGUUAGGAACGGCUUGAACUACUAUAUUCUUUGAUUUGGUCUCACUUACGAUCGCGAAACUACGGAUUUGGUGUUCCUGUAUGUAAGCCAGUGAACUGUUACAUUAUGUUGACAUUUACAGAUAUUAAUGUUUCGAGUAUAAGCAUUUCGUCAAUCAUGGAAGGGGUAAAUAUUUGGCAAGAACACUUUCUCGAAGUAACACUCACAAGUCAUCAGGGCCUUUUUUAACAUGCCCCCCCCCCACGAAAUCACAUUUUGCCCCCCCAGGGAAAGUCCCUUUUCCCUAAAAUUAUAGAAACAAACCAGCGAAGAUUAACAAAUACAUAAAAGGAAAGUAAGUUUUAGGCUUUGUCCUUGUUUAACAAAAUCGAUUUAAAUUGUUACUUUUUUCUACCACUAAGUAAUGAUAAAUUAUUGUUAAUAAUUUUUUAUUUUUUGGAUGCUCAGAAUGCAGGAAAUAGCAUUUCCAGGUUUCAAAUUUCAAAAAUUUUCUGGGGAUUAUCCCUCUAAUAAGUAAUGAUAAAUUACAGUUAAUAUUCUUUUUUACUUUUUGUGCAGUUUUCCAUCUUUUAUUUCAAAUACAAGUAUAGUUAGCAUAAAUUUUAUAGCAAAUUUGGAUGCUCAGAAUGCAUGAAAUGGCAUUUCCGUGCUUCAAAUUUCAAAAAUUUUCUGGGGGAGUACACCCCACACACCUGACCAUUGCCAUCCUCCUCUAAUAACUAACGAUAAAUGAUGGUUAAUUUUUUAAACUUUUUGUGCGUUUUUUCCUUUAUUUAUUUCAAAUACAAGACAGUAUAGUUAGCAUAAAUUUUGGAGCAAAUUUGGAUUCUCAGAAUGCAGGAAAUGACAUUUCCGGGAUUCAAAUUUCAAAAAAUUUCUGGGGGAGUACUCCCCCAGACCACCCCCCAUUCAUGCGUGGUAUAUUGGCCACACACGUAGCCUUCAGCCAUUGCUAUCCCCCUCUAAUAUAUUAUCUCACAGAAAAGUCCCUUUUCAAACAAUGCCCCCCCACGGGAAAGUCCUUAAAAAAGGCCCUGCAAGUCAUGGUGUGAUUAAAUUUUCGAACAUGUACUCUACCUGAAGACUAUAUGUCGAACUAUGUAUACUUUGUAUUUCAUACAAUCCAAAACGAGAACGAGGACUGCAGAAUGACUUUAGAUACUUAGAAUUAGUUCUAGUAUAACAUUGUUUGUAGAUUAGAAUAAUUAUCGUUGUAAAGUUUUUUCAAAAAUAAUUAAUAAACAAUUAUUG